AUUGAACGCUGGCGGCAUGCCUUACACAUGCAAGUCGAACGGCAGCACGGGUGCUUGCACCUGGUGGCGAGUGGCGAACGGGUCAGUAAUACAUCGGAACAUGUCCUGUAGUGGGGGAUAGCCCGGCGAAAGCCGGAUUAAUACCGCAUACGAUCCACGGAUGAAAGCGGGGGACCUUCGGGCCUCGCGCUAUAGGGUUGGCCGAUGGCUGAUUAGCUAGUUGGUGGGGUAAAGGCCUACCAAGGCGACGAUCAGUAGCUGGUCUGAGAGGACGACCAGCCACACUGGGACUGAGACACGGCCCAGACUCCUACGGGAGGCAGCAGUGGGGAAUUUUGGACAAUGGGCGAAAGCCUGAUCCAGCAAUGCCGCGUGUGUGAAGAAGGCCUUCGGGUUGUAAAGCACUUUUGUCCGGAAAGAAAUCCUUGACUCUAAUACAGUCGGGGGAUGACGGUACCGGAAGAAUAAGCACCGGCUAACUACGUG
rnacentral:rRNA from 1 species